AACCUCCGCAAUGUGAGAAAUCGCGACGGGGGGAUCCCAAGUGCCAUUCUUAACGGGAUGGCUUUUCAUUAGUGUAAAGAGCUUUUGGAAUAAGGGCUGGGCAAGACCGGUGCCAGCCGCCGCGGUAACACCGGCAGCUCUAGUGGUAGCAGUUUUUAUUGGGCCUAAAGCGUCCGUAGCCGGUUUAAUAAGUCUCUGGUGAAAUCCUGUAGCUUAACUGUGGGAAUUGCUGGAGAUACUAUUAGACUUGAGACCGGGAGAGGUUAGAGGUACUCCCAGGGUAGAGGUGAAAUUCUGUAAUCCUGGGAGGACCGCCUGUUGCGAAGGCGUCUAACUGGAACGGUUCUGACGGUGAGGGACGAAAGUUAGGGGCGCGAACCGGAUUAGAUACCCGGGUAGUCCUAACCGUAAACGAUGCGGACUUGGUGUUGGGUGGCUUUGAGCUGCUCCAGUGCCGAAGGGAAGCUGUUAAGUCCGCCGCCUGGGAAGUACGGUCGCAAGACUGAAACUUAAGGAAUU
rnacentral:rRNA from 1 species